CGGGGCUCUCUUGUCGCGAUGGCCCAGCACCUCCUGCCCCUCCUCGUCCUCCUCCUGACCGCCGCCGCCUCCACCUGCAUCACGGCGCUCACGUCGGCGAGCCCGCCGCUGCCGGUGGCGUUCUUCUCCUUCUUCAUGUGGGGCCUGGCGUCGGCCGCGCUCGGCGUGCACCUGCCGCGCCUGGGGCGCGGCGGCGCCGAGUGAGCGAGCUCGCCGAUCGACGGCUGCCGGCCCACUCGCUCAUUCAUUAUCGAUGAGACGUGGCCAUGCUGGCAGCCGGCGUUCGCCGGCAGAUCGACCAACGCGUACGUCGACCUCGCCGGAGACCCAGCUGGAAUCCCACUUGCAAUUCACCGUCGUCAGAGGCCGCCGGGCCGGGCUGUAAGAGCUAUCCAGUUGGCUACAUGCCUACAUCACUCUCUAUUCUCUAAUCAAUAAACCUCUAGCAUUUAGUCAAUGCAUGUUCCACGCGCCAGAAGCUGAAGGAUCUUGUGGCUCGUUGAGUCGUCGUUGCAGUCGGAGACCCGCCAUUUCUCCUUACAAAGAAACGGACAGGGUCAACGAGUGGUUCAGGGCUCCAACCACCAAGAUCAUAUGGGUCUUGACGCGAUUGUGUAAUGAAAUUCUCCAUCUAUUAGUAGGAGAAUGUGCUUGUGUUGUACUGCGCUAAUAUAUUAUAAAGUGCUUGAACCCUUAUAUAUAUAUUUGUGCCCCCAGUUUGAUUGAUCGAAUUAUGACGACAUGCCGGACAUAUUUUGAUCUCUA